rnacentral:rRNA from 1 species
UCCUACGGGAGGCAGCAGUGGGGGAUAUUGCACAAUGGGGGAAACCCUGCUGCAGCGACGCCGCGUGAGUGAAGAAGUAUUUCGGUAUGUAAAGCUCUAUCAGCAGGGAAGAAAAUGACAGUACCUGACCAAGAAGCCCCGGCUAACUACGUGCCAGCAGCCGCGGUAAUACGUAGGGGGAAAGCGUUAUCCGGAUUUACUGGGUGUAAAGGGAGCGUAGACGGUUAUGUAAGUCUGGAGUGAAAGCCCGGGGCCCAACCCCGGGAAUGCUUUGGAA